rnacentral:lncRNA from 1 species
UCCUGCUGCUGAUUGCCUUGCCAAGAGCCACCAUCUCCACGCAACAUGGUUUGCCAUUUGGAAAACAAAGUCACUGCCAAUCAUUGUUGAAAGUCAGCAUGCAAUCGCCAACAUUUCUCUUAUUCAUCUGCCUGUCUACGAGCUUAUGAAUCAGUUUGAUGAAGUGUGGACCACUUCUCCCUGAUUCUCUUCUUCCAUCAUCUUAUGAGUCAUAUGCUAACUUCAUGCAUCCUGAUACCGAGUCAUGAUCUCUGCCUUAACUCCACAGUCAAGAUCUUCACCCUCUCCCUAUCAGUAACAUAGAGAAAGAAAUCCUCAGGAUUCAUACAUAGGUGUCUGCAACUACUAUAAGGAAAUUUCACAGUGGAUGUCAUGUACCUGACAUGGACAGACUCAUAUCCCAGACUGUGUCUCCUGCCUUGAUGAAGGGCACUUACAUUCAUCUCUCCAGACAAGUUAGAAAAACAUCCUGGGACUGAGCACCAGCAAGAUGUUCAUCUGAGUGUCUUCUUUAACCACAGAAGUAAUAUUCUCCAGUAUAUGCAGGUGACAUCUGGGACAAAGUUGUAGACAUUAGUAUCCUACAGUUCAGCCAUCAGCAGCCUCAUGUGGGGGCAGUGGGACCUUCCCUUUAGAGAUCUUGGAUCUUUUUGCUGGAGCCUUGGGCUCCAUCCAAGCCCCUCAGCACUCCUCUGCAUCAGAUACAGAACAUGGACACAGCACUGGGAAUUGAGCUAACCACACCAUGGAAAUUUUACCUUUGAGCCAUCCACAAUCUCUACAAAGCACCAUGCUUGAGUUUUAUCUGGUAUUCUCUGAAGAGAUGCCUGAUUCAUAACAGGGGGCAGAGAUAAAUCAAGGUAACAAUAUUUGUUAAUUACUUUUAUAUGUUGG